ensembl:lncRNA
AUGGUAUUCUUACAUGAUCUAGAUUCUAUAAUAAUAGAUAAUCAGCUUUUAUUCUCGCAAUUUGGCGUUGGGUCCGGUUAUUUGACAGUGUUUGUAGCUACGGUGCAGACACGGCUCGUCCUAUACAGUACAUCUAAUUUUCAGAAAAGUGGUCCAGAGAACAUUGUUGGAAUGUUUACCGACAGGUCUCAUGCGGAUAUCUUUACCACCGUAAUCUUACAGUUUGUGUGAAACAUUGUAAAAGUUUCAGUGUGAUUACUUCCACAUGGGUAAACAUAGCAUUCUGUUUACAAACAGAGCCUGAAGUCUGUGAAAAUAACCAGGACUGUGUAUUUUACAACCACGUCGUCACGGUUAAAUCCGAAACAUACUCUAAGCUACCUUGAUGUUAUUUAAACAAGCUUCUUAAAACAGAGUGUAAGAUUACGGUGGUAAAGAUAUCCGCAUGAGACCUGUCGGUAAACAUUCCAACAAUGUUCUCUGGACCACUUUUCUGAAAAUUAGAUGUACUGUAUAGGACGAGCCGUGUCUGCACCGUAGCUACAAACACUGUCAAAUAACCGGACCCAACGCCAAAUUGCGAGAAUAAAAGCUGAUUAUCUAUUAUUAUAGAAUCUAGAUCAUGUAAGAAUACCAUGAUUAAAAUAAGAAACCUAAUUAAAUUAUAAACAAGAACCGCCGGACAACAGCUGUAAAGGGAGUAUGGUUAUUUAAACAUUAAAGUAAUAUCGCUCUUUGAGUUAGAUGUAGUGCAUUUAAAACGUUUUUGCCAACUUAUCCGCUUUCUCUCUCGCAGCGGGCCGAGAUGACGGGAGAGCUCUCUCACGCAGGCGGAGAGAGAGAGAGAGAACGCACGGAGUUUAAACACCAGAUUUUUGUAAACCUAUCAUUUGAAGAAUCGUGAUGCCUGCGCGAGGAAGACUUUCGCGAAAAUAAUGUAAGGGGAAUUUAUAUUUUUUUAUUGAUUUAUUCUCAGUUUGUUAAUAGGCUGAGAUUCUUUUUAUACCGUAGUCAUAUUAAAUGCAAACACACACACGUACACAACACACACACACACACACACACACACACACACACACACUAUCUGUUAAAAUUGUUUAUUAAUUAUUGACCUUAAAACCAAUAUCUUUCUCACAGCCCCCAUACAGAGAGAGAGAGAGACCGGGAGAGACAGAGAGCGAGAGAGAGAGCGCGCACGCUGGGCAUUACAGACCGCAACCUGAUACCUCUGUCACGUACCACACGCACAGACGCGUCCGCAGAUGAGUCCAGAUAUGAGAAUGUGUGUAUAAGAUCUACAAACACAUUCUUCAGGGAUCUCAUUCAUCACUUGGUCACUGAACAAACAACACAUUUCACCUCGCGGAGCUCAAAGGAUGACGGAUUGAUUUCACGCACGCCGGGGUUCCGCAUAUGGACAUUAUUAAUAGGGCAAAGUGCACAUCUGGACAUAAUUAAUAUGUCAAAGGUCAAACUCAUUAAUCAUUAUGACGUUUGCUGGCGGUUAUGAACUACUAACAUAAACAUGUAUUUUCAAGAGUAGCACGAAAUUAAACACUGCAACAGGUGGUACAGUGCAAAGCAAAUUGACAUAAGAUUAAAGGUAAGCUACUGUUUUAUUUAUUUUGAUGAAAAUGUUGACAUGGCUCAAAUAUUUAAAUGACUUAAACAAGAUAUGCUGGAAUGUCUUUGUGACGAGUGGGGCGGGGCCGAGAGCCGUGGGAACGGAGCGAGGCCAGUGGAGUGAUUGGGAAAUGAGCAACACCUGCUCCACUCACCGGUCUCGAGUCCCACGGAGGAGAUCGGAAGGAUAUUAAAGAGGAGCGACGACAGUGAAGGACGAGAGAGGACCAGGCCUGGGCUUUAUUUUGUGUUUGGUUUUUGUUUGUGCGCGGCAGUCGACCGUGAGGGGCUGUCGCGCUGUUUUGUGUUUAUUUUGUUAUUAAGGUUUUAUUUGAGUGUUCGCCGGUUCCCGUCUCCUUCUUCCCGUGACUAUGGAGUUUUAUAUUGUUACAGUCUUAUGCCAUGAAGUUACUUCUUUUUUUUUUUUUUAUAAAUUCAUAUUCAGUUUAGCUUCUCUCAAGUGGCUACCAGUGAACAACAGGAAAAUAUAAAACUC